AGAGCUGGGAAGUGCCGGGCCGGCGGAGAGGGGAGCCCGGGCGCACGGGCCAGGCCGCGGGCUGUCCCAGGGAGCCCCGAGGGCGCGGUGCGCGGGCGCAGGUCGGGCGCAGGCGGGGUGACCCGGGGAAGGGGCGCGCACAGAGACAGAGGGAGCCAGCCGGGCCCCACGGUGUCCUCGGACGCCUCCGAAAUCUCCCUGCGUGUUUGUUUCUUCGGAGCUUCACCGGAGCCUGACUCUGGAACCGGCCUGUCUGCCUGCUGCAGUCUGUAUGUGUUUGUCUUUUGCCUUGGCCGUGCCUCUGGAAGUCUGACAUCCGUGGUUGUACAUGUGUCUUUAUCUUCAGGCCUCAUUGGUUUUUGGUUUGUUCGUUGUUGUUGUUGUUGUUGUUUUUUCUGAGACGGAGUCUCGCCCUGUUGCCCAGGCUGGAGUGCAAUGGCGCGAUCUCGGCUCACUGCAACCUCCGUCUCCGGGUUCAAGAGAUUCUCCUGCCUCAGCCUCCCGAGUAGCUGGGAUUACAGGUCCGCGCCACCAUGCCCGGCUAAUUUUUGUAUUUUUUAGUAGAGGCCGGGUUUCGCCAUGUUGGCCAGGCUGGUCUGGAAACUCCUGACCUCAGGUGAUGCACCCGCCUCGGCCUCCCAAAGUGCUGGGAUUACAGGCGUGAGCCACCGCGCCCGGCCAAGGCCUCAGUGUUGAUUUCUCUUCCGUGAUGUCUCCUCCUAUAGAAUAAAGAGUGUCUCCUCCAUCUCCUCCUCCGCCCCCUUCUUCGUUUCUCUCUCUCUCUCCCUCCCUCCUCCCCCCUCCCUGUCCCUCUCCCUGCCUCUUCCUCUCCCCUCUUCCUUCUCCUACUUAGGGCCUAGAAGUGUGCCUCUCUGAAAGGACAUGCCCGUGUCCUUCUGUAUUCCCGAGUUUAUUUUAGAAUGAGUGCGUAUCUCAGGGUGUAUGUUCCUUCUAGGGCCUGUGUGUGUGUGUGUGUGUGUGUGUGUGUGUGUGUGUAUUUAAAUCUCUAAGCCCAUGUUUGUGUGUUUUCUUAUGCCUGUAUUUUUUUUUUAUUCUUUCAGGGAAACGUUUUGUUCUGUUAGUCUUGGAGGCCAAGGCUGAGUGGGUUUAUCUCUGUGCCCCUCCAGUGACUUCAAAGAAUGCCAAAAGUCUCUCGAGUGUGCCUGUGUGCACACACAGACACACACAAAGUCAUUCAACAUUUAUUCAACCAAAAAUACUAAGUCAGCU
rnacentral:lncRNA from 1 species